GCCGGAGUGGCGGAAUAGGCAGACGCAAGGGACUUAAAAUCCCUCGACCCCAAAAGUCGUGUCGGUUCGAGCCCGACCUUCGGCACCA
rnacentral:tRNA from 1 species